UCUGCUCUGAUGUUCUCUUCCUCUUUUUUUUCAGCACUUUCUCACGCUCUCACUGUGUCCUUCUCUCUGUCAGAUAUACAUCCAGAUGAAGUUCCCGUGGAGAGUUCCACUUCUCUCCCUUUCCCUUUUUUCUCUAUUCUCCUUCGGCCGUGCGCUGAAGUGCGACGCAGAAACGCAGUAUGCGUGGCCGAACAACGCACCUUCGCUAUGCUGCAAAAAGUGUGAACCAGGGGAGCGGAUGGAAAAGCGCUGCACGUCCCCGUCCGCCGAAACGCGGUGCAAGAAAUGCGGGCAGGGGUAUUACUCGGACAGCGCCAACACAGACCAGGGCUGCAAACAGUGCUAUGACUGCAGCAUGAAGUGUAAGUGCACACGCAUCUUCGGAGCGUUCCCGUCAGCCGACCCCAGUCAUCAGUCUCCAUCUUUCUCACUUGCGGCCUAAACUGAAUCAUCCGGUCUCGCUCGCUUGAGAAAGAAACUUGAGGUUUAACGCAACCCGAGCGCAUCGUAAAAGUGUUUGGAUUAGAAGAGAAGAGAGAAAAAAAAAAAAAAAAAAUUUAUGCACAUGAGGCAGUUAAAGAGGGGGGCUUCCCCUCGGCGGAGCCAGGGUGGGCUCCAGUCAAUUAGAGAGAGGCCAGCUGGGAGGGGACUCGGAUGCCCUCUCUGAUUCAGUCAUCAGCCGAUACCGAGCGCAGUCAUGAGGAAGGUGGGACUCUCGCCGAGACGCGCCCCGGAGAGAAGGGACGCGCAAGUGCGCCAAAAUCACCUUUUCGCAUCGACCUGCUCCGUUACGCUCGGCGGCGAGACUCGGAAACGGCGACGACUCCCCGAGUAGUGCAAGUCAAGCAGUUUAUUACGAAAGUCAGAUGUUAAUAUUGCCGCCCGAGCCUUUAAGAUGGUGGUUCGAAAAUGAGUCACGCAGUACAGAGCUGAUGUAACAUUUCCGCCCUUUCAGCAUUUUCUGAAGCCGCUCUCCCGCGUUCGCGUCUUCGAGCUCGACGCUCCUUUACAGUACGUUCGCGCUGUUUUGCGCAUAAACACAGAAAGGGUCCUCGGGGCCGCGGCUCUUCGGCCGUUCCCGCCCCGCGCGCUCUCUGACGGCGCGGCAUCCUGUUUGCUUUUUCUCGUUGCAGAUAUGGCGUACGUUAAAAACUGCACGGCCACCAGCAACUCCGUGUGCGGGUGUCAACAGGGCUACCGCUGCCACAGCAUGCCGUGCGUGAAUUGUGUGCCGGAACACGCAGCAACAGGUAACGCGGCGGCUCAGGUGGCUGUGGUCUGAUGCACGGUCGACCGUGUCAACAGGGGGCGCAGCGGCUAAGGAGCCAGACCUGCACCAGUGAACGCUUAUCUGUAGGGUACCAGCUCGGAUCCCUUCUGGACAGGCUCACGAAGACGAGGAAAUGUGGAGGUUUUGGAGGUUGGAGGUGUGGAAGUGCCUCUCUCCCCACCCCCACCACAACUUUAUUUUGUUGCCCCCUUUUGUUGGUUUCCAAAAGUGUGCGAUAAUUUAGCUCUCUGCUUCGUCCCCCUCACCUGCUACAGGUCCGUAAGCAGUGGACGCAUCUCAAAAUCGCGUUACGCUCGACACGCAUUUUUCACACCGACUAUCGCGAUUACAACUAAGCGCCACCGGAAGAGUAACGCAGCCCCUAUGUUCGGAGGAGGGUUCGAGUCACAGCUUUCAGCUUGCCGAGUCCUUCCUUUACGUGCUGUUGUUGAACCUGCUAUCUUGUCUUCUAUUUUAUACCGUGUAGGUCAUAAAUUUAUACUAUAUUCACCACUGCCCCACUUGGUCAUCUCAGUACCGUAUCUCCGAUGAAAUGAUACCGCUGCCUUGCAACGAAAUAAGAUGUUAGUGACACGUGCCUUUUGGCAGCGCAUCUAGCUUUUAAAUGGUGAACCACUUCAAUAUAUACAAAUUCUGCUUGCUAUAAAUGGCAUUUUAAAAUGGUACUUUAAUAUUUUUAAACUUAACAUUACAAUUUCUGCUGUAUGACACCAGCAUUUUCUUUCCCCAUAAACUUCAAAUUGAUAACACAUUUUAUUAACUUUAUUAGGAAAUUAAUAACAUGUUGAGAAACACUACCGACAUUAAAAAAAAAAAGCUUAGUAUCAAGGGUACAAACUGUGUAUACAAUACUUGAUUCUUUUGAGUGCCUUAAGCCACUAAGAUACUCAAGUUAAGUGGAGCAGUGCCACUCGAAUGGCUAGAGGGUUAGGUAUGUGUCUGCUGAAGGAGUCUGCAGGGUCUUAGACGCUGUACAAGGCCUACAGUGUGUUGGGUAUCACAGACAAAGUGGGAACACCAUGAAAUAGAGGCAGUGGAGAGGGCAUCUAAGCAGAUGUGGAUCAGGAGGGGGUGGGCUUAAGGUAGUGCUACCUGGACAUAUGUUGGGAUCUGAUCAACCCUCUGAGGGUAUCCUGGGCGAGGGCAUCUGACCUUGAAAUACCCAAAACACAUGGCGACUCCUACACAGGUGACGUUUCGUGGUGCAUCGUAAAAUCUACGACAUAAAAGCCGUUGAGUUUUUCUUUCAAAAUAUUUCUUUAUGCGCAACACAUAUCUACGGAAGGUGCUGAUAUUAAGACCAUAAUUUGCGACGAUGAAUUAGAACUUGGUAUUCAACUGGAUGUCCAACUAAACAAACCUAAUAUUGAGCUUAGAUGCUUUCUUACCAAAGAGCAGUUCGCAGAAACUGACCUAUGAGAACAAUUCCUGAAUUAACAAAAAAACAUCAACUAUUGAGUAAAAGAUGUAGCCAGCUUAUUAUGAUGGAAACACAUCCAGUACGUGAGACCUGCUGUAGGCCAGACUAAUAUUUCAAGUUACUUCUGAAAACUUUCCAACACGGUCAUUACGGUGUACCGUCAAGAUAUUUCUUAGUUCUUAAAGACUGAUGAUCUAACAUUUUCAGCUGAUUCACUGACCAGUCACGUAAAACCGAUUAAACUUGUUACAUGAGGUGGUGUAGCUGAGCAUCCCUCCCAGAUGAGUAACACACUUUACAUUUAUUCAUUUAGCUACACUUUUCUCCAAAGCAGCUUGCGGUGUUAAGCUACUCAUGAUUAUUUUGUCAUUCAUACAGCUGGGUCAUUUUUUUUUUACUCGACCAACUUUGGGUAAAUUCCUCGCUCAAGAGUAUUACAGCUGGCGACGAGAUUUGAACUUGUGACUUUAUGGUUCAAAGGCAGUGACUCUAAACCCUACCAGCCACCCCUACUUCACGCAUAUCUCCACUGAUGCAGAUAUUUCAGGGCUGAACUAUUCUACAACGUGGUGCAGUAGCUAGUGCUGCUGCCCUACGGUGCCUCGGCUCUUCUGGCACAGGUUCUAAUCCACUUUAGUCAGUGUGGGGUUUGCACAUCCUCCCCAUUCCAACAUGGGUUUUUUCCCUAAAGAUCUACGUUUCAAGUUAACUGGUGAGUAUAAAUCGCUUGUGAGCGAAUAUGUCUGGCUACUCCGCAAUGGUCUGGUGUCCCAUCCAUGGUGUGCCCGCCCACCCUUCCCCAGCCUGGCAUCCAGUAAUUCUGGGCCAUGGACCUGAUGAGGACAAGCAGUUCAUGAAAGCGAGUGAGAAUUAGUAAAUUUUUAGUGGUUCACCAAUACUCUUUCUAAAGGUUGACCGAAUGAAUCGUUCAAUGUUUCCACUAUUUCAGAAGCAACAGAAAGAAGUUACCUGCCACCAUCUCAGAAUGAAUCAAAUAAUGAAGGUAUGGCAUCUUUAAUAAUAAUAAAAAAAAAAA
rnacentral:lncRNA from 1 species